rnacentral:pre_miRNA from 1 species
AGCUUGAUUGCUAAACCAUAUGGUAAAAGUAAGUUUAGCUUUGUAAGAAACUGCCAAACUGUCUUCCAGAGUGUCUGUGCCAUUUUGCAUUUCUCCCAGCAAU